rnacentral:rRNA from 1 species
UUGGAGGGCAAGUCUGGUGCCAGCAGCCGCGGUAAUUCCAGCUCCAAUAGCGUAUAUUAAAGUUGUUGCAGUUAAAAAGCUCGUAGUUGAAUUUCGGGGUUCAUACGUUGGUCGGGCUUUUUGGUCUGUACUAGCGUAAUGGAUUCCUACCUUCUGAAUAACCGGCAUGCCAUUAAUUUGGUGCGCCGGGGAAGCAGGACUGUUACCUUGAAAAAAUUAGAGUGCUUAAAGCAGGCUAUCGCCUGAAUACAUUAGCAUGGAAUAAUGAAAUAGGACGGCAUGGUUCUAUUUUGUUGGUUUCUAGGAUCACCGUAAUGAUUAAUAGGGAUAGUUGGGGGCAUUAGUAUUCAAUUGUCAGAGGUGAAAUUCUUGGAUUUAUUGAAGACUAACUUCUGCGAAAGCAUUUGCCAAGGAUGUUUUCAUUAAUCAAGAACGGAAGUUAGGGGAUCGAAGACGAUCAGAUACCGUCGUAGUCUUAACCAUAAACUAUGCCGACUAGGGAUCGGACGAUGUUAAUUUUUUAAUGACUCGUUCGGCGCCUUACGGGAAAC